UUCUGCUUGAUUUUGCCCAGGGAAAAAUUCAGCUUUCUACCUACUGGAGCAGGGACAAUACACCAUGGAAGUGACCAACACUAAGCAGCUCCAGUCUCGCAAUGCCACCACGAUGCCAUCACACCAGUGACAGGGUUGGCACCAGGCCAGCUGGCUGGGCCUCAGCCUGGUUUCACUCUGCAUCUACAAAAGAAGAGGCUGAGAAAAGGUGCAGUUUGUUUUCUCAGAGUGACACAGAGCUGUCAGUGAGGCCUCAGUGGCUUGUGCUGUCCUGUUUUUCUGCAGCCAGUUUCACACUGCAUUCAGAAAACACAACUGCAAUGGCCCAUCAGGGCUCAGCUGCUGCUAAUGAAUGGCUGGAGCAUGAAUUUUAAAUGAACAUUACUGCCCGUUUUGGCAGACUUUGAGAGGAUAACUCAUUAAUUAGGCAGCUCAAAAAGCAAAGUAAAAUCCUAAUCACCUUCCCUGGAUUAGCACACAGGGUGAGAAACAAAGCCUGCAUAAAUGUGAAGAAACUUCACUGAACAGGGCAAUGUCAGCUCAGACCUCAUCCCAGCAAAGUCCUGAUCCUCUACUGCUUUGAUGGCAUUCUCCUCUAGCACCUGGGCUAGACAGCAUGAAGCAUUCACUAUGAAAAUUCCCCAUGCACCAUCACAGGUGUCUAUGCCAAGUUUCAACACCUGCCCCAUAGUCCUCAUGCCUGGAUAGGACAGGGAGGUGUCCUGGAGCAUCCCAGGGGCCCUGGC